rnacentral:rRNA from 1 species
UACAGAGGAGCCAAGCGUUGUCCGGAUUGACUGGGCGUAAAGCGCACGCAGGCGGUCGCGCGCUGUGGGGUGUGAAAAUCCAGGGCCUUAACCCUGGACCUGCAGUGGGGUACGGGCAGACUGGAGUGGCGGUAGGGGAGACUCGGAAUUCCUGGUGUAGGCGGUAGGAAUGCGCAGAAUAUCAGGAGGAACACCGAUGGCGAAGGCAGCAACUGGGCAUUAUCUGACGCUGAGGCGCGAAAGCGUGGGUAGCAAACAGG